rnacentral:lncRNA from 1 species
UGGGGAAUGGCUAGGCGAAGCCUUCCAAUGCCGCCAGAGAAGUUUUUGGGUGCUAGGCCCUGGGCAGCUGCCCUUUUUUUUUGUUUGGCUGCCGCCAGAGUGUUGUGCUCCUUACAUUGUACUGAAAUCUGUUCGUCUUUUAAAAAAGUUUAGCAUGUGUACAGUUUCCCAACAAUUUUUCUGAACUGUGCAAUCUACUUAAUUUUUGUGCCAUACUCAGGACGAUCGAUCGAUUCCGAUACUCAGCAUCAUGCCCAGUCUCCUCACCUCUGCUUCUUUCUGACUUCGUGUUUUCUUUCUUCUCUAUCUUUCUUCCAUUUUUUGUUGCAGUACUUCAGAUGUACUGCAUGCAUGU